ensembl:snRNA U6 U6 spliceosomal RNA
GUGCUCGCUUUAGCAGCACUUAUACUAAAAUUGGAACUAUAUAGAGAUUAGCUUGGUCCCUGUGCAAGGACGACACGUAAAGGAUCCCCAAGUGAUU